GCAGGUGGUUCCCUAACCUAAAGUUCAUCACUAACGAUUUUGUCUCUUCAAAGUGCUUGACUCCCAGGGAGCCUGACCCUCCAUUCUCCAUCUCCCACCUCUGCACCUUUGCCUACGAUGCUGUCUCCCUCACAAUUGCCUGGCUCCUCUUCUAGACUGGACUCGGGGCUCACCUUCUGCAAGAGGUCUUCCCUGUUCACUCCUCCUCUGAGAUGGCCUUCUACCUACUUUGUAUCUAACUUCUGUUCCCAGUUCUCUACAUAAUUUUCUCCCAUUAAAUACAAUGCACAUUUAUUAAGCACCUACUGUGCUUAAGGCCCUAGAAUGAAUGGUAACUCCUUGAGGGCAGGGAUUUGGGGGAGGUGGCGUGCUGUGGACAGAAUACUGGCUCCCUACACAGGGAGACCUGUGUUCAAAUCUGGUCUCUGAAACUUACUAGCUGUGUGUGACCCUGGGCAAGUCACUUAACCUGAGUUUGCCUCAGUUUCCUCAUCUGUAAACUGGGGAGAAUACUAGCCCCUACUGAAUUCCCAGGGUGGUUGUAAAGAUCAAAUGAGAUAAUAAUUGUAAUGCUGCUUAGCCCCAGUGCCUGGUGCACAGUAAAAGCUAUAUAAAUGUUAAUUAUUAUUAAAUAGGCAAAUGUUUAUUGACUUUGAAGCUGGCAAACUCUCCCUGAUGGGGGGUAGGGGGGCACUUCAGGAAGGGAAAAACCAGUGGCCAGCCCUGUAGAGAGAGCAAAAACCAGGCAGUGGCUACUGGAUUGGGGGCCAGAGAAUUCAUGAUACAAUUUUAUGUUUGUCUCAAGCGUCCAAUGAGCUCGACUGGUGACUAUUAUUAGCCCAGGUUACAGAUGAGUAAACUGAGGUCAAAGAGGGGAAGUUUGUACCAGAGCAGCUCUAAGAUCUCCCUCCCAGAGGGAAUGUUCUCUGUUCUAGCCCGUUCCUGACAUAGGAAGCUCUGUGGGAGUCAGCCUCGAGGUCCUGGGAAUGGUGGAGAAGACGAGGCUAUGAAGUCAAGAAAAAACGGAGUCCGAAUCCCAUACUUAAUAUCCAUUUAAUACUUAAUUUAAUUUUUGUAUUUUGUAUUUAUUUUUAUCCAUUUAUUUAUUGAUUAUCGAUGACUUUCACAGCCUUGGGCUGGGGAUGCCAAUAGAAAGAACAGCAGUCUCUGCCCUUGGGAGCUUACCUUCGAAUGGGGAAGCCGGCACCCGCUUUACUAGCAGCAUUUCGUCUCAGUGGGCUCAAAGGCACAGAGAACAACGCUAGGUCUGGAGUCAGACUUUUUUUAAAAGGUGAUCAGGGUGAAGUGACUUGCCCAGGGUCAUACUGCUAGUAAGUGGUAGAGCCUAGAUUUGAACCUAGGAAGAUGAGUCUUGAUGGUGAAAUGAAUAGAGUACCAGGCUUAGAGACAGGGAUAUCCUGGGUUUCAGUUUGACCUCAGGAACUUCCCAGCUGUGUGACCCUGGGCAAGUCACUUAACCCGACGCUGGCCAGCCUGUCCUGCUCUUCUGCCUUGAAAUCAGUUCACAACACUGACUCUAAGAGGGAAGGGAGGUUCUGUAAAGCCUAACUAAACACACAGCCAGUGUCCCAGAUCCUCCUGCCGCCCGGCCCGGCCCUGCCCCGAAGAACCCAUCUGGCCAAAGGAACUUGGCCAGCUGUGCCCUGUGCCUACAGGCUCCGAGAGAAUCCCCAUUGCAGGAUGCCGACUUCAGGAGCCGUGCAAAUGCCAUGGGGACGUCCACCGUGGCCCAGUGACUCGUGGGAAGCCAUCCAGGGCUCUCCCCAAGCUGCAGACGAGACAGAAAUCGGGCUGAAGGUCUGGGGGCACAUCUGGCAGAGGGACACAGCCCCGAUUCCCUACGCAGCGCCAGUGCCUGGCCCUGGGGACCCCCAGGCGGAAAGGAAAGGGGGCUCUGUCUGUCUCCUGGAGGGAGCCCAAACAAGGGGGAAACGAGGCAUCCUUAGCAGGGAGAAUGUGGGUAGUGGGGUGGAGGAAGUGGACCCUGAGCCCAGUCUGGAAGGAAGACAGGCUUCUGGGAAGCCGAGGGUUUAGUAGGAGAGCCAAGAGGCAGGAGGAAGUGCCAGGGCAGGUGUGGCCUGCAGACGGCUCAAAUGGCAGCUUUGGGGAGGGGAGAGAAGGCGGCUCCUGCAGUAGAGUCUGUCCAGGCAGGUGGUGAUGGACACCUGAGGUAGGGUGGGGCUGCCUGAGCCUAGGGGAGGGAGAGAUGGCCACUGAUGACACACAAGGGGGAGGGAGGGGAAGGGACCAGGAGCAUGAGGUUUGAGGUUCAGGGACUGGAAGAAAGGGGAUGCCCUUGACUGAAAUAAGGGAGUUUAGGAAGAGGAGAUGGGUGGAUGAGUUUAAGACGUCUAUGUCCAGGGGCAGCUAGGGAGCUCAGAGGAUAGAGCGUAAGGCCUAAAAACAGAAGGCCCUGGGUUCAAAUGUGGCCUCAAGUGUUUCCUAGCUGUGAGAUCCUGGGCAAGUCAUUUAACCCUGUUGGCCUCAGUUUCCCCACCUGUAAAAUGAGCUGGAGAAGGAAAUGGCAAACUAGCUGGGUGACCCUGGACAAGUCACUUAACCCUGUUGGCUUCAGUUUCCCCAUCUGCAAAGAAGGUCCUAAAAUUCAUACUUUAACCCAGAAAAAUACAAUAGGGGUGGGGAGGGGGUAGAGUUGGUCAACUAGGUAGCUCAGUGGGUUGAAGAAAAAAGGAAUGAAAAAGUGAAAAGCUAGGCAGCUGAGUCCAUUGAGAGCCAGGCCUGGAGUCAGGAGGACCUGGGUUCAAAUCUAACCUCAGAUACUUCCUAGUAGUGUGACCCUGGGUGAGUCACUUAACCCCUGUUGCCUAGCUCUCACUGCUAACACACUCAACCCAACAUAGGAGUCUGAGAAAAAGUAAUGGGACAAUCUCUCCAGCCCACUGAGAAGAAAGUAUCUAGGAGGUGGGAGUGGGUAACAGUAGCAAAAAUCUCUUCAGGAGCCUUUUCUCCAUCCUAGGCUUUCUGGUCUUCUCUAGAAAGAUGAAGAAAAGACCAGAAAAGGCGCGACUAAAAGCCCAUUGCUUACCCUCAAGACUGAUUUCAGUUGGGUGAUGAGGUCAAAAGCCAGACUGUGUGUGAGUGAGAAGACUGAAGUCCAUGAGUCAAGAGCCUUUCCCCCCUUAAGUAAAUCCAUAGAGAAUCCAUACUCAAUAUCAGUUCCAAGAUAGAAGAAAAGCAAGGGCUAGGCAACGGGGGUGAAGUGACUUGCCCAGGGUCACCCCGCUGGGAAGUGUCUGAGGCUAGAUUUGAACCCAGGAGCUCCUGUCUCCACGUCUGGCUCUCUAUCCACUGAGCCACUUAUUCACUUAUCAUAGCCCCCUGUCCCCAGAGUCCUCGGCACUGCGCAGACCCAGGCUGAGUUAUCUAAAGCAGCCCCUGUGAGCAGCAGCCAGCAUCUCCAGGGGCCGCGUCACUUCCCCAUCAGUUUCUCCAAAAGCAUCUUCAAACGGCCAGAGCAGGAAGCUUUGGCGAGCCCUGCAGCCCCAGCCCAGGGCAGACAUCAGAUCUGACGUCACUGCCACCACCUAGGAUCGCAGUCCCUGGGGCGAAAUACCCAGACUCCUCGGCACCACAGGUUUGAAGCCGGGCAGAACUGACUCAACCUUUCCUGUCUCCAAGAUAAAUAUGUGCUUGGGAGGGAAGCAGCGUGCCAUGUGGAGACCAGGCUUCUUUCUCUGCUCCGCCGUGCCUCUGGCCUCUUCCCAGGAACACAGGUCCUCAGCCAGGAGAGGCAGGGUGCCAGGGGGCCGCACUCUGCCUGACGUGCCCCGAUCGGUGCCAGUUCAAUGGGGCACUUACUGAUUGAGUCAGUUAUUUCUCUGUGGAUCAAAAGGUUCUUACCCGACAGUGCCAGCCUCAAAGCCUUGCCAUCUCUGGGACUUUGAACAGAACCAAUUUGUCAGACACUGGCUGGACGCAGCAUUUAGCACGAUGGCUGGCACAUAGUAGGUGCUUAAUAUUUCUUUCCUUCCUUCUCUCCCAGAUUUUGAAAACGACUAAAACACCAACUAGAGCUAGAGCCCACGUACUGCUACCUGCAACCUUCCAUCCUCUCCCACCUCCGGUCGAGCCUUUGCAGGAGAUACACCCCCUCCUCGACUACGGCUCCUGGACCCCCAGCUUCCUGCCAGGCUCAGCUCAGGUUCCUCCAUCUACAAGAGGGCUUUCCUGAUCUUAGCAGGGAGGGUUCGUUGUCCUCCUACUCACAUCCUUCCCUUGUACAGCCUUGGAUUUCUUUAUCCAUCCAUGUUGUUCCCCCAAUAAAAUAAAAGAUCCGUGCAGGCAGGGGCUGGUUCCUUUUUAUCUCUGCAUCCCUGGCCCCAAAGAGAUGCUUAACCAAUACGGAUCGAAUGAAAUGAAUGAACUUGAGGCUUUGAAGAAACGAAAUGGGAUGACUUGUGCCGAGGCCAGCUGCAAACAAAACUGAGAACCCAACUUUCCUGGCUCUGGGGGGCCACAAUAUCCCCCUCCCAUGGAGGAAGGAGGAGCUGCAGAGAUCAUGCAUCCAACCUCUCCCGUUUUUACAGAUGGGGAAACCGAGUAAAGCGAUUGGCCCAGAAUCACACCGCUGGAGAGGGGAGGUAGUUGGGGAAGUACAGCAGAAGAGUAAUGAGCCUUCCUAACCCACUGGGAGAAGGAUUACACCACUACUGGAAUACAGGAUUCUGUAAAUCUGGACAGUCUUGGCACAACAAGGUAAAAGUGGGUACCACACUGUCAUCAUCUUUCUGGUCAAAUAAAAUCAAUAAAGUCAAUAAAGUGAAAAGGGAGAGGGCAGCCAAGUGGCACAGUAGAUAGAUGGAGUCAAGAAGACCCUGGACAAGUCACUUAACCCCAUUUGCCUAGCCCUUGUGUCUAGUUGUUACUAAAGCAGAAAGCAAAGAUUUUUUUUAAGUGGGAAGAGUAUAAGCAUCUCUAGAGUCUAUCAUGUGCCAGAUACUGUGCUAAGCAAUUUUUACAAAUAUUAUUUGAUCCUCACAACAACCCUGAGAGGUAGAUACUGUUAGUAUCCCCAUUUUACAGUUGAGAAAAGUGAGGCAGAGGUUAAGUGACUUGCCUGACGUCACACAGCUGGUAAAUAACCAAAGUCAGAUUUAGAUUCUGGUCUAUGCACUGUGGUGCAACCCCUGGCUGCCUCUAAGAGCACAGUUGUACUCACAUCCUCAUCCCCUAAUGUACACAAUGUCAUUCAGAUCAAGGUAAAAUAAACAUAAUAAAAUACCUCACCUCAAGCAGGAAGAAAGAUGACAUAAUGAAAAGAGAGCUGGCUAGCUCAGAGAUUAUACUUCCACUCUUCCAGGAUUAGGUGCCAAGAAGGAUAUUGAAUAUAGCAAGAAAAGACCCACAUGUGUGAGGACAACUGUAGUAGCAUUGUUUGUGCUUUUAUCAUCCCUCUUUUACAGUUUAGGAAACUGAGGCAGACAGAGGUUAACCAACUUUCCCAAGGUCACACAGCUAGUAGUGUCCCAGGCUGUAUUUGAACUCAGAUCUUCCUGAUUCCAAGCUGCCUCUACUAAAGGACAAGGCUUUCUGUUAAUUGACAAACUGUUUCCAAUGCAAUACAAUAGAGACUACAGCAUUAGCACCCAAGUAUGGUAGUUCCAUGGCUAUUAAUGGAGAAAAGUUUAUGUGACAAAAAUCUUUCCACAUAUCCAUUUUCAUUUUUAAAAUCUCUCUCUCUCUCUCUCUCUCUCUCUCUCUCUCUCUCUCUCUCUCUCCUCUACUUGAUAAAGAAAUCAAUCAUUUAUUUAAAUUGAUGGAAUUUCCCUUUUACUCUGUUUACCCACUUAUAGCUAUUCUUUGAGUUAGUCUUGUUUGUGAUAUUUUUUUAAAAUUUAUUUUGGUAGGUGGAAUAAAUGAGUAUAUAAA